GACGAACGCUGGCGGCGUGCCUAAUACAUGCAAGUCGAACGCACUCUCGUUAGAUAGAAGAAGCUUGCUUCUGAUUGAUAACAUUUGAGUGAGUGGCGGACGGGUGAGUAACACGUGGGUAACCUGCCCUAAAAUGGGGGAUAACAUUUGGAAACAGAUGCUAAUACCGCAUAAAACCUAGCACCGCAUGGUGCAAGGUUGAAAGAUGGUUUCGGCUAUCACUUUAGGAUGGACCCGCGGUGCAUUAGUUAGUUGGUGAGGUAAAGGCUCACCAAGACCGUGAUGCAUAGCCGACCUGAGAGGGUAAUCGGCCACACUGGGACUGAGACACGGCCCAGACUCCUACGGGAGGCAGCAGUAGGGAAUCUUCCACAAUGGACGAAAGUCUGAUGGAGCAACGCCGCGUGAGUGAAGAAGGUUUUCGGAUCGUAAAACUCUGUUGUUGGAGAAGAACGUAUUUGAUAGUAACUGAUCAGGUAGUGACGGUAUCCAACCAGAAAGCCACGGCUAACUACGUG
rnacentral:rRNA from 1 species